UAGAACAACCGAAAGAUCGCUCCCGUUUGACAAUCGCCAUGCGGGGGAGGAAAGUCCGGACUUCACCUUCAUGUUGUUUGUGAAGAAAACGGUAGUGGGCAAUUCCCAUCCGUCGUUGCUUUGUAACGACGAGAGGUGCGAACAGAAACGCCAUUUACCGAAAGGCAAAUGGCCUUCCGCAAGUGUAUUAUGCGGAAGGACGCUCCGGUGUAAUGCCGGGGCAUGAAACGGCUAAAUCCUUACUGGGAAGCAAGGCAAUAGCGCAUCAGUUUCUACCGGUGCGCGGUAAGCCGCUUGAUCCGGCGGAGUAAUCCGUCGGACAGAGAAAUGAUCUUGGCCUGCCGAUGAGGCGGGAAACAGAAUCCGGUGUACAGGUUGUUCUAUACA
rnacentral:RNase_P_RNA from 3 species